rnacentral:rRNA from 1 species
AUGGAGCAGACCCAGGCCACCGUAAUCAACGAGGGGAGAGCCAGCGCGAGCGCCUCCGCCUCCCGCUCCGACGUCCCCAACAGCGCCGCGUCUCCGUCGUGGGUGAUCUUGGGCACGGUGCCGCGUGUCGCCUCCGACCUCUCUCCCCAGGUUGACCUCGCCCUCGCGCUCAAGGCGCCCCCGCAGGUUACCCUUCUCAGCAUUCCGACGGCUAUGUUUCUUUCCCCAAUGGCUUUCCAGAACUACCCGUCUGUUCUUGCCGCCGACCCCUCCGGCCUCCUCCUCCUCGACGCCAACCAGGGGAACCUGCCAAGUCACGCACUUGUCGAUGUCUCCUCGAACCCGAUCGUCCCGGGCUUCUUCGUCCUCGACUCCCUAAAGGUGGUGCAUCUUCCACCGAGCAAGCAACUACUCGAGUCGCGCCAGGAGUGGAUUUACCUGGAGAAGAGGCGCUGGGUGGGCGUGAGCGCUGGCACACUUCGUUUCGUGGAGAUGUCCGGGUUCCCAAAUAGGUACGAUCGCGACUACGACUCCGACGACGCCGUCGAUGUGAGUGAGAUUCAGAUUAACGUCUGGACGCUGGAAGACCCUGACACAUCCUCGUGGAAGCUGCUGUACAAGAUGCCUGUUAAGAAGAUCUUAGGGGAUGAUAUGUACAAGGCCUACGAACUGCCUUCUGAGGUGCCGGAGCUGGCGCUGAUGGACCCCAUGGAUCCACGGCUUCUCUACUUCAUCGUGAGCAACCGCAUCUUCAGCGUGAACAUGGUUACCAAGAGGGUUGUGACGUGCGAGCGCAUGGACCUGGCGAUGCAAAUUCCCAGCCGCUCCGUUCGGCCCUGGUUACUGCCAAGUAUUCUUAGCGCAGAUUCAGAUGAUGUUACUGGUGGACUGGUUGAAUUGCUUGCACCACAGCGGUUCAAAAGAAAGCACUUGCACCACCGCCAAUUAACAAGCUCAGCAAAUGCUCUGAACAAGAACGAGUCCCAGGUCAACCCAGAAGGUGUGCAGCCAUUGUUCUAA